AAGCUAAUUUCCCUUUGUAACUAAUCUAUCAUUCCCCAAACAGGUAAAAAAUUCACAAAUUGUGCAAAAUCCUCAUCCAAGUAAGAAUUGUGCAAAGCUUAGUAGAUGAUGCGCCUGUGCAUGCUGUAUGAAUUUGACUUGAAGGGGGAUACCCGACCAGUGUGAAAAAACAUAUUUGACUAAAACUGAGUUUCCCACAGCUUUUCCCAUCCCUGCCCUGGAUGCCUCUUCUCUAAAUACCCCCUUCCCUGUUCUGCACUCAACCCAAAAACACACUUCCAACACAUUAAAGAGUUUUAACCUUGUGUGACAAGUCACAUAGUGCUUUGAUAUUCUCUUUCCCUUAGUGCUUGCUCUUAAAACCACACGCCUCAUGUGUUAGUAGUGAGUGGGCAGUGUAUAUUGAUCUGAUAUGAUCUGAUCGCAUGCCGCUUGUAUGGCAGCACGAGAAGAAAGACGAGUGCUGCUGAACGGUACAGAAAUCUGCAUUUUGGUCUGUAGUUACACCUUUGUUACCCUGUGGCUUCAACUUUAUUUGGAUUAUUUCUAACCCUGAUGAUCAUCAAAUCCAACUCCAAGUUCAAGUUGUGGCCACAGUUUUCAAACUUUAUUUCAUAAUCAGUAAUCUUGAUGGAUUAAACAAUAAAUAAAAAUGCGUUUAUUAAUAUCCUCAUUGUUUGCAGGUCCAGCUCAUCUGGUACCCAAAUUCCAAAGACAGAGGUGCCUCCUCAAACUGUAUAAAAAUAUAGCUUAUACUUGAAAGGGAGGAAGUCGUCACAGGAACCGUGCCAGCGAAGACACACACACUAUCAUGGCUAACAUACCUAUGACAGCUGGAUGAGCCAUACACAGGGUUUAAGAUGAAGUCUAACCUGGUUUCAUUGGGUUUCCCACUGAGUUCUGUACAAAGUCCUACAAGAAGGCAGUAAAAUAUUUAUCUACGGUUUGCUCAGCAUUCUUUGAGUGUUGACUAAAAUAAAAUAAUAAAUACAAAAAUACUCCCAACCAUGAGACUUGAUUAGGUACUUUGAAUGAAAAAAAUGCAACAAUUAGUAUCUCUUCUUUACACUUUACUCUUGUAAAACAAUAAAAU